CCUACGGGAGGCAGCAGUGAGGAAUAUUGGUCAAUGGGCGUAAGCCUGAACCAGCCAAGUCGCGUGAGGGAUGAAGGUUCUAUGGAUCGUAAACCUCUUUUAUAAGGGAAUAAAGUGUGGGACGUGUCCGAUUUUGUAUGUACCUUAUGAAUAAGGAUCGGCUAACUCCGUGCCAGCAGCCGCGGUAAUACGGAGGAUCCGAGCGUUAUCCGGAUUUAUUGGGUUUAAAGGGUGCGUAGGCGGCCUCUUAAGUCAGCGGUGAAAUUCUGUGGCUCAACCAUAGCAGUGCCGUUGAAACUGGGGGGCUUGAGUAUGUUUGAGGCAGGCGGAAUGCGUGGUGUAGCGGUGAAAUGCUUAGAUAUCACGAAGAACCCCGAUUGCGAAGGCAGCCUGCCAAGCCAAGACUGACGCUGAUGCACGAAAGCGUGGGGAUCAAACAGGAUUAGAUACCCGAGUAGUC
rnacentral:rRNA from 1 species